UAGAAUACCCAAGUGACUCUCGCCCCGUGUUCGCGUGUUCCAGACUCACAGAAACCUAGCGUGGCGAUCCUCCUUGCGGAGAAUCUCCUUGCGGCGAUCCUUCGCGCGGCGAACCUCCUUGCGGCGAUCUUCCCUAUUGCAAAGCCAUCCCCACUCGCGAACUCUUUCCCCCUUCGCGAAGAGCCCUAGCAGCUUCCCCCUCGGAAGGCGUCCCACUCGCGAGCAUUCCCCACUCCUCUUCUUGAAAAAGCCAUGGACAGCGGUCUCUCGUAGGGGAUCUUUUUGGUCUUCUUUUAGCUAUUCUGGAUGGUCGAAUGCUGAAGAUAUGGACCGAUCGAGCUGUUGAGAUCAAGCAGCAUGGCUGGUUCUGGGAGUACAGUCUACUAGGUGUGAUGAUCGAUAAUAUCACUGUGUCCUUAAAUGGCUGUCGGUCGACAGUGGAGACUACAAUCGAGGAAUCUGCUAAGUUGACUGACGAUGCUCACCCCGAGCAUAACGAUUUCUGCAGUACCACCGACACCACCAGGUACGAGAUGGCGUAUACCAAAUCAGGCUGGAAGAUAACCGAAGGAGCUGUUCUUAAAUCAUAGAUAGAUCCGUGCUGGGUUCUUGGUGACUAAUGUAAAUAAUGUCUGCUUUCCUUCCGGGUCAGUUUUUAGUUCUUUGAGCUUGAUCAAUUCCAUUCUCAUGUAUUGCGUUUCUUUCAACCAGUGUAAAGAUUUUGACGAACAUCUGCUGUGCAACGUUCCUGAAGAACUGUCAUAAUUUGACGAGCAUCUGUUCUCCCUCUUCCAA